ensembl:lncRNA
GAAUAUUGGAGUGGGCAGCCAUUCCCUUCUCCAGAAGAGCUUCCUGACCCAGGGAUUGAACCAGGGUCUCUUGCAUUGCAGUUGGAUUCUUUACCGUCUGAGCCACCAGGGAAACCAGGUGGAAGAGAUUGUAACUCCACUAGGAGGUUGGCCGCCUGAGCUCUGAGUCCAUACAAACUCAGUUUUAAAGCCCAGCUUUUGGGAGCCUGGUGGGUUACCGUCUAUAGGGUCGCACAGAGUCAGAUAAGACUGAAGUGACUUAGCAGCAGCAGCAGUCAUGUGACAAUACAUGAUAAUAGUGAAAUGGAAAUCAUAGUAUCUGCUGCAAAAUAUCGUUGUGGGACUCAGAUAAGGCAACAUAUAAGGUUGAAUGAUAUGGAAAUUUGGCAACAAAUUAGGUUGAAUGAUAUGGAAAUGAUAUGGAUGAUAUGACCAUCAUUAAUCCCACAAGACCCCAACGGUUUUAAAUGGUUUAGUUGAAUGGGUAAAACCGAGAGUAUUUUCUAGCAAAUUGAGACUCCUACUAAAUAGCAACUUCCAGAAAAGACAGUAUGGGCUGGAAGCAGGGAAAUCUGUAUUUACUCAUUUAAGUAAGCUCACAUCUGUCCUGGAAGGAGGGAGCAGACAAGGUAAGAGUGAUGACAGCGGUUGUUAUCAAUGGCUCUGCUUUCUAAGUAUCUGUGACAGUUGGCUUAACCUUGAGACAUCCCUGUUAUUUCAGACUUCUGUAAGAAUUAACACAUAUGAAACAGAAUCUGUAAAAUCAAGUCAGGCCCUCUAGAAAGUUCAUAAUAUAGUUUAUUUGUGUUUUAGAAAUAUUUUCCAAAAAGAAAAGAACUGAUCAAAUAUUAGCAACCCAUGAAGGCAGGGAAAGCAAAGUUCAUGAAACCAGAAAGAGAGAUUUGGGUAGGUAAGGGGAGGAGUCCUUCUGUAGGAAGAGAAGCUUUUGUGAAUGGAGCUGGCUCUUGGUAUAGAAUUUAAAAGUCGCCGUCUUACCACUCUCUCUGCCGCAUCAUAUGUGACACCUUGACCUGUUGUCAUCAGUUAUAAACAUCAGGGAGUUUAUUGACCCCAGCAGAUCUGGGUGGCUAAUUGCAAGCAGUGCACACAUUGUUUACAAGAGGCUUAAGCCGCGUGCUGGAUGUACUCAGCGAGGAAUCUCAGAGCAGCUGAACCACCUGCUCGGAGUUGACCCAUCUUGGUUCACAUAAGAACUUGAGAACACUUCUGAAUUCUUGAAUGAUUGCCUGGAGUCGAGAGGCUUAGUGAUGUGAGAACUUGAGCUGAAAAGAUGAUAUCAUGUCGUAGAUAGGAUCAUCCUGUCAUAAUUAGGGCCGAAGGCAGUUCGUUCUGACAUAAGACAGAGAGGGGUAUACAAAGACAUGAGGUUUGAUUUUUCCUACAGUUUAUAUCAGUUCUAAUAAGUUGUUCUCCCCUCUUUUUCCUCUUGCCAUUCAUCAUGCCAUAUUUUGAAUAUUUUUCUCCCCUCGAGUGUCUUGUUCUUCUUGUUCAGACUCUAAGUCGUGUCCAGCUCUUUGAGACCCCAUGGACUGCAUCACGCCAGGCUUCCUGGUCUUUUCACUCUCGGGUGUCUUAAUGUCUUUAAAACGGAAUGAAGGAAUAAGCUUAAAAUCUUCAAGAAGGAAUUGGAUUAAAAUUGGAUGGAUUCUCAGCUUUCCUUGACUCUGGAAUGCAUUGUGAGGGCUGGAGAGGAAUGGAGACAUAUCCCGGCCAGGCAAAUGCAAAGAGGUCUUAGCAAAGGAUUCUGUGAGCAGUGAUCUGGAACGUGGGAACUUCCUUAAGGCUGCCCUGCGCGCUGAAAUCUUUAGCAAGCUUUGCUUUAAUGUGUAUUAAGUUCGGGUGUGGUAGUCUGUCUUUCCCUGAAGAAGUCCCUGUUUUUCUCUAAGUAGGGUGAAGAACUCUUCUUCUCUCUGCCAUAUACCCUCUUCGUUUCCUAUACAUUUUUCUAUUGCUUGAUGUGAAUGGGAAACUUUUAUUUCCAACACUGCAGUGUUUGUCUCUGCUCCGCUUUCUGUAAAUGCUUUCCUCAUUCUGCAGAGCUGCACAUCCUGUUUUCUGUUAGGGGCAUUGCUGAGAUGGUAGGACAUGCAGAUUCUCUCCAAUUCAUUUUCUGAAAGGUGGUCUAACUCUGUGUCUAGUGUCAUUCAUGGUAACUAACCUCAUUGACAACUGGUAGGAUUGCCUAAUUGGAGGAGUGAGCUGAAAAACAGAGUAUCGCACAAAUGAAGACAAUUAAUGAAACUAAUUUUAGUUCAGUCAGUAACAAUGAGAAAUUACUAAAUACCCACUAGGCACAAUGAGCUGUGAUCAGCAUUGUAAGAGAGAAGAUAAUGGGGAAGAAGACCCAGCCUUUGCCCUGAAAGGACUUAAUCCUUCAAAAGGCAUGCUUAGGAGGCAGAGGACCAUACCACAAGACAGAAUGUGAUUUAGGCCAUAAGACAUUCACUAGCAACAUUAGCUCAAAGGACAGACCAAGAGUGUUGGGUGAAUGCAAGAAAGCCUCAUAAAGAAGGAGAGAUGUUAGAAAGAGAGAUGUUGUCGUUGUCCAGUUGCUAAGUUGUGUCCUACUCUUUUCCACCCCAUGGACUGUAGCACACCAGGCUUCCCUGUCCUUCCCUGUUUCCUGGAGCUUGCUCAAACUCAUGUCCAUUGAAUCGGUGAUUCCAUCCAAUCAUCUCAUCCUCUGUCACCCCCUUCUCCUCUUGUUCUCAGUCUUUCCCAGCAGCAGGGUCUUUCCCAAUGAGUCAACUUUUUGUAUCAGGUGACCAAAGUAUUGGAGCUUCAGUUUCAGCAUCAGUCCUUCCAAGGAAUAUUCAGGGUUGAUUUCCUUUAGGAUUGACUGGUUUGAGAGAUGUAUGAUAUUUUAAAAAAUAGAUAGCAUAUUCGGUAGUUUCUGUUACAUUGAUUUCCUCCUUGUUACAAGGCAGUAUUUCUCCAGUGGCUCAGUGGGUAAAGAAUCCACCUGCAGUGCAAGAGAUACAUGGGUUGGAUCAAGAAGAUCCCUAGGAGGAGGAAAUGGCAACCCACUCUAGUAUUCUUGCCUGAGAAAUCACAUGGAUACAGGAGCCUAGUGGACUACAGUCCAGGGAGUUGCAAAGAGUAGGAGAGGACUGAACGACUAAGCAGGCUUGCAGGCACAAGGCAAUAAAUUCUCCUUAAAGAAAAGGAGAAACUUAAAGAAGGUAAUUUAAAAACACUUUCUUGCUGGAAGGCAGUUUCUGUUAACACGGGGCAAUUAGAACAUGGGCUUCGAGGAUGACGAUGCAACCACCAGGCACCUGACAAUUGAACUGACAGCUGGUCAUCUGAUGGCCAGCGUGUCCUUCCACUUCCCCAGACUUCCAAGCGCUCUUGCAGAAAAGUUCAUCCCAAACUCGGUGAUGCUAGCUUCUUUCUCUGUCAUUUUCUAUUCUUGAUUGCAACGUUUCUUAAUACCCGACAGACAGUCUCAUCUGUCUGCAGGGGAAGGCGAAUAAAGCAGAGAUGAAAUGCCAGCUUUUUGCUUUCCUGGUCGAUAUUUAAAUGCGAUAUUAUAUCAGUUCAUUAAUUGGUAAUGAAGUGACCAGAGAACAUCACUUCAUUUCCCCUAUAAGUGAUGUCAGCUUUCCUUCUUCCCAAAAAUCUGGUUCAGGAGGUUUUGGUGGGAUGAAUACAUCGCAUUUCUUUUCACACUUUUGUUGUUUAAAGAUGCUAUUGUUUCAUUUGAGAUGUGAGGAAAUGUGCUAACCUUGUCUUCCGUGGUGCAGCAAUGCAGAAAUGAUAACUAUAUAUACUUUUUUUAUAUAUAAAAACAGAGAGGAGCAGGAAGGAGAGAGACAACUUAUUUAAAUCCUGAAUACAGUCAGACCUCAUAUGCAUUGUUAAAAAAAAAAAAAAGCCCUAAAGAAUUGCAUAUGGAUUAGAGGGAUGAAUAUUCUAUUAUUUCAGUCUGUUCUGCUGAUCUUCUUAUUGUGACUUUGUGCUUCAGAAAUCUGCUAGGAAUUUGGCUUUGCCGUAGUCGGCAGUAAUUUUAAAUGUGUAUCAAGCACUUGAUAGUGUAUGAUUUGCGUGCUGUUGCAUUCCUAUUCCCUAAAUUUUCCACCAAUUUAUUACUUUUUUCAUACUGUUUUAAUAUUUCAGGAUGAUGAAUAUAUACAGCAUCAUUAAAGGUAAAUAAAAAAUGCAUGAAAUUAAAAAAUGGAAUAUUAGAUGUUUCUUUGCAGUAAUCCCUCAGCCCAAUAGGAAUGAAAUGUCUCUGUUCUAUCAAGUAAUCCCUAAACAUGAUUAGGAAGCUGGGAGUGUCCACACAGCCCACAUAAUAUUUGUAUCAUCUAAGCCUAUUUAUGUAAGGUUUGAGUAAAAGUUGUUAUUAGAAGACCUAUAAACCCAUUUUACAAUUCUGAAAGAUAUGCUUGCCUCUUAAUCUUUUCUACCUUUAUUAUUUUUGCUGGAGUUGAUGACAAUGUGUUCUUAAUUCAUUUUUCAGAAUGCUAUUACUGUACAUCAUUUUUUCAUACUGAGAUGGUACAUUGGCUAUUCUAUUGAAAUACAUUUUAAAGACCAAGAAUUGAGUUCAGUAGUUCAUUUGCAUCUUGUAGCUGUUCUUUUUCAAUAUUUAUAGGAAGAAAAGUUUGUUUCCCAGAGUAUUUCACAACUUCCAGACGUUAUUUGAUGUGUGCAAGGUUUCCCAAAGUAUUUCCUCUUGUAAAAAAGUCUAUUCUGUAUUGACUCACUAAGCUCCUGGGUUUUUUUUUGUUUGUUUGUUUAUUUUCCUUAAUAUUAACAGCAUGCACUUUGUGAUGCUUUACUGCAAAGUUGUUUAAGCUUAGUUUUGAUUUUUUGAACCAAAGAAAGCAACGUUUUGUGAAGAGAUGAUCUGAAUAUAAAAAGAUCACAAAAUGUUUUCUGUGAACCACGAAUAAGAUAAGGAAGCCGUUGAUAUAAGCUCCACAUUGUUUAAAUGACUUAUUUGGAAAGAUUUUCUUUCUUCAUUGGCAAAUCUUCAGUGUUUGCUGUCUUUGAAAGACCUCUUUAUAAGGAGAAGCUUUUCAAAUAUCUUAAAAGUCGUAUGUAUGAUUCCUUUUUUUUUUGUUUUUUGCUGUUCCCUCCAGUUAGAUUUUAGUGAAUACCAGACUUCUCUAUAGCCAGUUUAGUUCUUUUAAAUGUGCAAAUAUUAAUCUAGCAAUUGCAUAUAAACACCCUUGAAUUUCAGAGAAGUUAGGUAUAUACCAUUUGCAACCUUAUUCCAGGCACCUUAAAAAACUCGGACAUUUCCAUAAGUUUGGUUCUUUUACUGUAAUCCUUAUUUUUAGCUUAAAUAUAAAAAGCAUCAUUUUACUAUUCACUGCUUCAUCAGAGUCAUGAAAUAUGAAGAUCAACAGCUUCUUUUGAAUUCACAAUUAUGAUACAUGUUAAAUGACCACAGUUCCUAAUGGACACCCCCUGCUGCUGCUGCUGCUAGGUCGCUUCAGUCGUGCACCCACUAACACGGGAUAUUUUAAAACCAUGUUUCGUAUAGCACCCCGAAGAAAUGAUGUGGUGAGACCUUUUAAACCUUUGCUCUGCUUCUGGCAAGUUUGCUCUGAUAUGGACAAUGACUUCUAGUAGUGAAAGGGGCAUUCUAUUAGCCUCUGUGGAAGUCAAGGUUAAGUUGGCUGUUCCCGCCAAUGCCAGGUUCAAAGAGAGGAGCCUCAGUGGUGCCCCUGUCUGCUCUGCAAGUGUGCCAUUUCGGGUCAAUGCUGUCAGCAACAGUGCAGUGAAAGCCAGUUUCUGCGUUGUGUUUGGUCCUCGUUUUGCAAAGAAGCUAGUGACACCAGAUAACAUCUGGCCAAUAGUCCCCUGGCUGAACUUUACCCGUAGGAAGGCAUGGAAGAGC